rnacentral:rRNA from 1 species
GUAGGUGGCAAGCGUUGUCCGGAAUUAUUGGGCGUAAAGCGCGCGCGGGCGGUUCUUUAAGUCUGAUGUGAAAGCCCACGGGCUCAACCGUGGAGGGUCAUUGGAAACUGGAGAACUUGAGUACAGAAGAGGAAAGGCGGAAUUCCACGUGUAGCGGUGAAAUGCGUAGAGAUGUGGAGGAACACCAGUGGCGAAGGCGGCUUUCUGGUCUGUAACUGACGCUGAGGCGCGAAAGCGUGGGGAGCAAACAGGAUUAGAUACCCUGGUAGUCCACGCCGUAAACGAUGAGUGCUAAGUGUUAGGGGGUUUCCGCCCCUUAGUGCUGCAGCUAACGCAUUAAGCACUCCGCCUGGGGAGUACGGCCGCAAAGGCUG